rnacentral:rRNA from 1 species
AGAGUUUGAUCAUGGCUCAGAGCGAACGCUGGCGGCAGGCCUAACACAUGCAAGUCGAACGGGCCCCUUCGGGGGUCAGUGGCAGACGGGUGAGUAACACGUGGGAACGUGCCCUUCAGUUCGGAACAACCCAGGGAAACUUGGGCUAACACCGGAUACGCCCUUUGGGGAAAGAGUGAUCGCUGAAGGAUCGGCCCGCGUCUGAUUAGCUAGUUGGUAGGGUAACGGCCUACCAAGGCGACGAUCAGUAGCUGGUCUGAGAGGAUGAUCAGCCACACUGGGACUGAGACACGGCCCAGACUCCUACGGGAGGCAGCAGUGGGGAAUAUUGGACAAUGGGCGCAAGCCUGAUCCAGCCAUGCCGCGUGAGUGAUGAAGGCCCUAGGGUUGUAAAGCUCUUUCGGCGGGGACGAUAAUGACGGUACCCGCAGAAGAAGCCCCGGCUAACUUCGUGCCAGCAGCGGCGGUAAUAC